GACAGAGGGUGCAAACGUUGUUCGGAAUUACUGGGCGUAAAGCGCGUGUAGGCGGCUCAGAAAGUCGGAUGUGAAAGCCCUGGGCUUAACCUAGGAAGUGCAUUCGAAACUUCUGAGCUUGAGUUCUGGAGAGGAAGGCGGAAUUCUCGGUGUAGAGGUGAAAUUCGUAGAUAUCGAGAGGAACACCGGUGGCGAAGGCGGCCUUCUGGACAGUGACUGACGCUGAGACGCGAAAGCGUGGGGAGCAAACAGG
rnacentral:rRNA from 1 species